AUUGAACGCUGGCGGCAUGCCUUACACAUGCAAGUCGAACGGUAACAGGGAGCUUGCUCCGCUGACGAGUGGCGAACGGGUGAGUAAUGUAUCGGAACGUACCUUUCAGUGGGGGAUAACGUAGCGAAAGUUACGCUAAUACCGCAUAUUCUGUGAGCAGGAAAGCAGGGGACCUUCGGGCCUUGCGCUGAUUGAGCGGCUGAUAUCAGAUUAGCUAGUUGGUGAGGUAAAGGCUCACCAAGGCGACGAUCUGUAGCGGGUCUGAGAGGAUGAUCCGCCACACUGGAACUGAGACACGGUCCAGACUCCUACGGGAGGCAGCAGUGGGGAAUUUUGGACAAUGGGGCAACCCUGAUCCAGCCAUGCCGCGUGAGUGAAGAAGG
rnacentral:rRNA from 1 species